AUAGGUAUGCUUAGGGAGGAGCUUGCGUCACAUUAGUUAGUUGGUGGGGUAAAGGCCUACCAAGACUAUGAUGUGUAGCCGGGCUGAGAGGUUGAACGGCCACAUUGGGACUGAGACACGGCCCAAACUCCUACGGGAGGCAGCAGUAGGGAAUUUUCGGCAAUGGAGGAAACUCUGACCGAGCAACGCCGCGUGAACGAUGAAGUAUUUCGGUACGUAAAGUUCUUUUAUUAGGGAAGAAUAAAUGAUGGAAAAAUCAUUCUGACGGUACCUAAUGAAUAAGCCCCGGCUAACUAUGUGCCAGCAGCCGCGGUAAUACAUAGGGGGCAAGCGUUAUCCGGAAUUAUUGGGCGUAAAGGGUGCGUAGGCGGUUAAAUAAGUUUAUGGUCUAAGUGCAAUGCUUAACAUUGUGAUGCUAUAAAAACUGUUUAACUAGAGUAAGAUAGAGGCAAGUGGAAUUCCAUGUGUAGUGGUAAAAUGCGUAAAUAUAUGGAGGAACACCAGUAGCGAAGGCGGCUUGCUGGGUCUUUACUGACGCUGAGGCACGAAAGCGUGGGGAGCAAACAGGAUUAGAUACCCUGGUAGUCCACGCCGUAAACGAUGAGUACUAAAUGUUGGGUAAAACCAGUGUUGAAGUUAACACAUUAAGUACUCCGCCUGAGUAGUACGUACGCAAGUAUGAAACUUAAAGGAAUUGACGGGACUCCGCACAAGCGGUGGAUCAUGUUGUUUAAUUCGAAGGUACCCGAAAAACCUCACCAGGUCUUGACAUGCUUCUGCAAAGCUGUAGAAACACAGUGGAGGUUAUCAGUUGCACAGGUGGUGCAUGGUUGUCGUCAGCUCGUGUCGUGAGAUGUUGGGUUAAGUCCCGCAACGAGCGCAACCCUUAUUGUUAGUUGCCAGCACGUAAUGGUGGGGACUUUAGCAAGACUGCCAGUGAUAAAUUGGAGGAAGGUGGGGACGACGUCAAAUCAUCAUGCCCCUUAUGACCUGGGCUACAAACGUGAUACAAUGGCUGUUACAAAGGGUAKCUGAAACGUAAGUUUUUGGCGAAUCUCAA
rnacentral:rRNA from 1 species